rnacentral:rRNA from 1 species
AGAGUUUGAUCAUGGCUCAGAACGUACGCUGGCGGCACGCCUAACACAUGCAAGUCGAACGAAGUAGCAAUACUUAGUGGCAGACGGGUGAGUAACAUGUGGGUAUCUACCCUUUGGCCUGGAAUAACACGAGGAAACUUGUGCUAAUACCGGAUAAGUCUUUACGGAGAAAGCUUUAUGCACCAUUGGAUGAGCCCGCACUUGAUUAGUUUGUUGGUAGGGUAAUGGCCUACCAAGACUAUGAUCAAUAGCUGAUUUGAGAGGAUGAUCAGCCACAUUGGGACUGAGACACGGCCCAAACUCCUACGGGAGGCAGCAGUGGGGAAUCUUGCACAAUGGAGGAAACUCUGAUGCAGCGAUGCCGCGUGAGUGAAGAAGGCCUUUGGGUUGUAAAGCUCUUUCGUCGGGGAAGAAAAUGACUGUACCCGAAUAAGAAGGUCCGGCUAACUUCGUGCCAGCAGCCGCGGUAAUACGAAGGGACCUAGCGUAGUUCGGAAUUACUGGGCUUAAAGAGUUCGUAGGUGGUUGAAAAAGUUGGUGGUGAAAUCCCAGAGCUUAACUCUGGAACUGCCAUCAAAACUUUUCAGCUAGAGUAUGAUAGAGGAAAGCAGAAUUUCUAGUGUAGAGGUGAAAUUCGUAGAUAUUAGAAAGAAUACCAAUUGCGAAGGCAGCUUUCUGGAUCAUUACUGACACUGAGGAACGAAAGCAUGGGUAGCGAAGAGGAUUAGAUACCCUCGUAGUCCAUGCCGUAAACGAUGUGUGUUAGACGUUGGAAAUUUAUUUUCAGUGUCGCAGGGAAACCGAUAAACACACCGCCUGGGGAGUACGACCGCAAGGUUAAAACUCAAAUGAAUUGACGGGGACCCGCACAAGUAGUGGAGCAUGUGGUUUAAUUCGAAGAUACGCGCAGAACCUUACCAACACUUGACAUGUUCGUCGCGACUCUAAGAGAUUAGAGUUUUCGGUUCGGCCGGACGAAACACAGGUGCUGCAUGGCUGUCGUCAGCUCGUGUCGUGAGAUGUUGGGUUAAGUCCCGCAACGAGCGCAACCC